rnacentral:rRNA from 1 species
UACGUAGGACCCGAGCGUUGUCCGGAAUCACUGGGUGUAAAGGGAGCGCAGGCGGACUUGCAAGUCGAUGGUGAAAUCUUACGGCUCAACCGUAAAACUGCCGUCGAUACUGCUUGUCUUGAGUGUGGAAGAGGGUGGCAGAAUUCAUGGUGUAGCGGUGAAAUGCGUAGAUAUCAUGAAGAAUACCGGUCGCGAAGGCGGCCACCUGGUCCAUUACUGACGCUCAUGCUCGAAAGCGUGGGGAGCAAACAGG